rnacentral:rRNA from 1 species
GACGAACGUUGGCGGCGUGGCUAAGGCAUGCAAGUCGAGCGGACCGCAUUUUGUAGCAAUACGGAGUGCGGUUAGCGGCAAACGGGUGCGUAACACAUUGGUAAUCUACCCUCCAGUCGGGCACAACUCGCCGAAAGGCGAGCUAAUUCCACGAUGGACACGCGGGGGCAUAUGUCAUUCGCGUGUAAAGCGCAAAACGCGCUGGGGGAGGAGCCUAUGGCCCAUCAGCUAGUUGGCGGGGUAAAAGCCCACCAAGGCUACGACGGGUAGGGGGUG